rnacentral:rRNA from 1 species
ACACAUGCAAGUCGAGGGGUAGAAUUUCUUCGGAAAUUUGAGACCGGCGCACGGGUGCGUAACGCGUAUGCAAUCUACCCUUUACUGGAGAAUAGCCCGGAGAAAUUCGGAUUAAUGCCCCAUAUGCUCGUAGGAUCUCCUGAUCCAGCGAGGAAAGCUCCGGCGGUAAAGGAUGAGCAUGCGUCCCAUUAGCUUGUUGGUGAGGUAACGGCUCACCAAGGCGACGAUGGGUAGGGGGCCUGAGAGGGCGAUCCCCCACACUGGUACUGAGACACGGACCAGACUCCUACGGGAGGCAGCAGUGAGGAAUAUUGGGCAAUGGAGGCAACUCUGACCCAGCCAUGCCGCGUGCAGGAAGACGGUCCUCUGGAUUGUAAACUGCUUUUAUUAGGGAAUAAACCCUCCUACGUGUAGGAGGCUGAAGGUACCUGAUGAAUAAGCAUCGGCUAACUCCGUGCCAGCAGCCGCGGUAAUACGGAGGAUGCAAGCGUUAUCCGGAUUUAUUGGGUUUAAAGGGUCCGUAGGCGGGUAUUUAAGUCAGUGGUGAAAGCCCACAGCUCAACUGUGGAACUGCCAUUGAUACUGGAUGUCUUGAGUAUAGUAGAAGUAGGCGGAAUAGGGCAUGUAGCGGUGAAAUGCAUAGAUAUGCCCUAGAACACCGAUUGCGAAGGCAGCUUACUAUGUUAUAACUGACGCCGAUGGACGAAAGCGUGGGGAGCAAACAGGAUUAGAUACCCUGGUAGUCCACGCCGUAAACGAUGAUUACUCGCUGCUGGCAAUAUACAGUCAGUGGCCAAGCGAAAGCAUUAAGUAAUCCACCUGGGGAGUACGCCGGGCAACGGUGAAACUCAAAGGAAUUGACGGGGGCCCGCACAAGCGGUGGAGCAUGUGGUUU